AGCGAACGCUGGCGGCAGGCUUAACACAUGCAAGUCGAGCGGGCACUUUCGGGUGUCAGCGGCGGACGGGUGAGUAACGCGUGGGAACGUGCCCUCUGGUUCGGAAUAACUCAGGGAAACUUGAGCUAAUACCGGAUACGCCCUUUUGGGGAAAGGCUUGCUGCCGGAGGAUCGGCCCGCGUCUGAUUAGCGAGGUGGUGAGGUAACGGCUCACCAAGGCGACGAUCGUUAGCUGGUCUGAGAGCAUGACCAGCCACACUGGGACUGGGACACGGCGCAGACUCCUACGGGAGGCAGGAGUGCGGAAUAUGGGACACCGGGCGCAAGCCUGAUCCAGCCAUGCCGCGUGAGUGAGGAAGGCCUUAGGGUUGUAAAGCUCUUUUAACCGGGAAGAUAAUGACGGUACCGGAGGAAUAAGCCCCGGCUAACUUCGUG
rnacentral:rRNA from 1 species